AUGCAGCAAACUACUGUAAGAAGGGUUACCACUACACAGGUACACACGCGACCUCGUAAGCCACCGCCAGGACACUUUAAAAUUCAUGUGGACGGCGGAGUCCUAGGAACCAUGGGAGGUUCGGCGGCAGCAAUAUGCAGAGAUGAACAUGGGAACUAUAUGGGUAGCUCAGCACUUGUCGUGCAAGGAAUUACAGAUCCACCAACUCUAGAAGCAAUGGCGUGUCGAGAGGCUUUGGCGCUAGCAGAAGACCUGGGAAUCCAAAGUUUUGUGGUGGCCUCCGACUGUCAACAAGUGGUCUCGGACAUCAACGCUGGAGCAAGAGGAACUUAUGGAGCAAUUAUCAGAGAGAUAAACAUUAGAUCAUUGCCUUUUCUUUGUAAUUUUAUUUUUGAGAGUCGUGCAGUCAAUGUAGAAGCACACCGUCUAGCCAAGUUUUCUUUUUCGAGAGGACCGGGGCGCCAUGUUUGGCUUGGUGCACCCCAUGACCUCAGAUGUAUCCCACACCAUGUGGACUUUCAUGAAUAA
rnacentral:rRNA from 1 species